UACAGAGGUGGCAAGCGUUGUUCGGAAUUACUGGGCGUAAAGGGCGCGUAGGCGGUUUCGUAAGUCCUGUGUGAAAUCCCCCGGCUCAACCGGGGAACUGCUGGGCAUACUGGCGAUCUUGGGCCAUUCAGGGGCGACUGGAACAAGCGGUGGAGCGGUGAAAUGCGUAGAUAUCGCUUGGAACGCCGAAGGUGAAAACAGGUCGCUGGGGAUGUGCCGACGCUGAGACACGAAAGCCAGGGGAGCAAACGGG
rnacentral:rRNA from 1 species